UCUACACCAAGGAAAUUCCAAACUUGAGGAGACUUAUCCCCACCUAGAACUUAUUUAGCUGAUGAGAUCCUGGUCCUCAAACCUGAACUUGAUGUCAAAAUAGACUGAGAUUUCUGGAGGCCUCGUGAGGAGGUUGGAGGCGAAUGGGAAGCCAAUAUUCUCUAAUUCCAGGCCAGAAGUGAACCAGAAGAAGUAAUGCAUAUUCAAUAUAAGACACUUGGACAACAGAACAACACAGAAAAGAAAUCCCUCUGUGUCUAUCUACCAUCUGGAGACAAGCACUGCAAACAAUUUGGUAUCACCCCUUUCUUUGCACGUAUCCACAAACGUAUAUACAUAUAUA